AGCGUUGCCAGGCUGGACCAGCUGGCUCUCUUCUGUUCCUAAAACUGUAUGUUCUUAGACACACUUCCUCCAUCCCUUCUGCUGCUGGCGAACUUAGUGUAGCACAAUGUCACUCUCACAAUCACAUGGAAACAGACUCCUGGAGGAACAAAAAGGAGGGACCCUGCGGCCCUACUGCAGCUCUACUGCAGCCCUGUAUUUCUGAAAAGGCACAAUAAUAACACCUCCCUUUCAAGACCUGUUGAGAAUCAUACAAGGUAACACAUGAACAGGCAUUUUGCAAAGUGGAUGUGCCAUUUCCUGUUAUUUCUGAACUUUAUUUUGCUCCCCUG
rnacentral:lncRNA from 1 species